GCUCUCAUGGCGUAGUGGUCACUGCGCUCGCCUUGCACGUGGGAGACCCGGGUUCGAUUCCCGGCGAGGUCA
rnacentral:tRNA from 1 species